GUGGGUGUCGCCUAGUGGUUUAAGGCGCCAGGUUGUGGCCCUGGAGAUCGAGGGUUCGAAUCCCUCCACUCACCCCA
rnacentral:tRNA from 1 species